rnacentral:lncRNA from 8 species
GGAACCUCUUCCCACUGUAUAUGCAGUAUGCUGCACCCUCUGGAUGAGAGUGGUGUGCAGACCUACAGGUCUGUUCGAGGCUGCCUGUGUGCAAUACGUCUCUGACAGCACCAUGAAAAUCGUCUUCUUCAACGGCAAGCCCUCCAUAGUUAUAUGACACCGUGCAGGGCAUACAAUCAGUCACUCUAGAUCUUUCUGACUACACAACUGAAGAACGUCUCCAGAAUGGAUUCACUCGGCUCACUCUUCCAUUGCCACACCCUGCAUAACCAAAACAGGAUGACCUCAUCACCAGCCUCCACUCAUGGACUUACUCUUCCAGCAUCUCCAGCAUGGCUGCACUCAGCUGGUUCCACACCCCUGGCAUGGUGGCACCCUCCUUGGCAACGGCACAGUUUAACAUGUGGUACCACUCAUGUCCCCCAGAGGGCACAGCUUCCCGCCCUCGCCCAACAGCACUGCCAACUAGUCUGUGCUUGUCCCAGAGAUGAAGCCCAUGGUGCCUGAUCUAUGCAUUGAGCAGCUGUGGAGUGACACGGCCUCCUCCCACAGGUCAGUGUCCUGCAUUCACCUCUGCACAACUGGCUACAGUGGUGUCAUGGAUCCUGCUCCGUGGCCUAGUUGGCUGACCCACUCCGAUAGAUGUUACUGUAGACAGGUUUACAUUGCUUUUGUCUAAUAAACCUGGGUCAAUGUCACAUUUAUUUUUAUUGAGACAUAUUUAAUGGUAACUGCAGAUAUAAGCAAUAUUUUCCAAAG